CCUACGGGUGGCACCAGUGGGGAAUAUUGCACAAUGGCGCAAGCCUGAUGCAGCCAUGCCGCGUGUAUGAAGAAGGCCUUCGGGUUGUAAAGUACUUUCAGCGGGGAGGAAGGUGUUGUGGUUAAUAACCGCAGCAAUUGACGUUACCCGCAGAAGAGGCACCGGCUAACUCCGUGCCAGCAGCCGCGGUAAUACGGAGGGUGCGAGCGUUAAUCGGAGUUACUGGGCGUAAAGCGCACGCAGGCGGUCUGUCAAGUCGGAUGUGAAAUCCCCGGGCUCAACCUGGGAACUGCAUUCGAAACUGGCAGGCUAGAGUCUUGUAGAGGGGGGUAGAAUUCCAGGUGUAGCGGUGAAAUGCGUAGAGAUCUGGAGGAAUACCGGUGGCGAAGGCGGCCCCCUGGACAGAGACUGACGCUCAGGUGCGAAAGCGUGGGGAGCAAACAGGAUUAGAUACCCCUGUAGUC
rnacentral:rRNA from 1 species